GAUGAACGCUGGCGGCGUGCCUAACACAUGCAAGUCAAGCGAUUCUCUUCGGAGAAGAGCGGCGGACGGGUGAGUAACGCGUGGGUAACCUGCCCUGUACACACGGAUAACAUACCGAAAGGUAUGCUAAUACGAGAUGAUAUAUGAAAGUUGCAUGACUUUUAUAUCAAAGCUUUUGCGGUACAGGAUGGACCCGCGUCUGAUUAGCUAGUUGGUAAGGUAACGGCUUACCAAGGCGACGAUCAGUAGCCGACCUGAGAGGGUGAUCGGCCACACUGGAACUGAGACACGGUCCAGACUCCUACGGGAGGCAGCAGUGGGGAAUAUUGCACAAUGGGCGAAAGCCUGAUGCAGCAACGCCGCGUGAGCGAUGAAGGCCUUCGGGUCGUAAAGCUCUGUCCUCAAGGAAGAUAAUGACGGUACUUGAGGAGGAAGCCCCGGCUAACUACGUGCCAGCAGCCGCGGUAAUACGUAGGGGGCUAGCGUUAUCCGGAAUUACUGGGCGUAAAGGGUGCGUAGGCGGUCUUUCAAGCCAGAAGUGAAAGGCUACGGCUCAACCGUAGUAAGCUUUUGGAACUGUAGGACUUGAGUGCAGGAGAGGAGAGUGGAAUUCCUAGUGUAGCGGUGAAAUGCGUAGAUAUUAGGAGGAAUACCAGUAGCGAAGGCGGCUCUCUGGACUGUAACUGACGCUGAGGCACGAAAGCGUGGGGAGCAAACAGG
rnacentral:rRNA from 1 species